rnacentral:rRNA from 1 species
GCAAGCGUGUCCGGAGUUACUGGGCGUAAAGCGCUCGCAGGCGGUGAUGUACGUAGAGGGUCCAGCCAUCGGCUUAACCGAUGGAGUGCUCGCUAAACGGCAUGACUUGAGGGCUAGAGAGGGACAUGGAACUCCGGGUGGAGUGGUGAAAUGCGUAGAGAUCCGGAAGAACACCAAAGGCGAAGGCAGUGUCCUGGCUAGUGCCUGACGCUAAGGAGCGAGAGCUAGGGGAGCGAACAGGAUUAGAUACCCUGGUAGUCCUAGCCGUAAACGAUGACCACUAGGCGUGGGGGGUAUCGACCCCUUCCGUGCCGACGUUAACACAUUAAGUGGUCCGCCUGGGGAGUACGGUCGCAAGAUUAAAACUCAAAGGAAUUGACGGGGACCCGCACAAGCAGCGGAGCGUGUGGUUUAAUUCGAAGCAACGCGAAGAACCUUACCAAGGCUUGACAUGUAGUAGAUCACCGUGGAAACACGGCUCCCUUCGGGGCUGCUGCACAGGUGCUGCAUGGCUGUCGUCAGCUCGUGUCGUGAGAUGUUGGGUUAAGUCCCGCAACGAGCGCAACCCUCGUCGUCGGUUAUCGGUGUCCGAGGAAACUGCCACGAUCAACGUGGAGGAAGGUGGGGAUGACGUCAAGUCAGCACGGCCCUUACGUCUUGGGCGACACACACGCUACAAUGGCCGCGACAACGAGUCGCCAACCCGCGAGGGGGAGCUAAUCUCAGCAAACGCGGUCUCAGUUCAGAUUGUAGGCUGCAACUCGCCUGCAUGAAGUUGGAGUUGCUAGUAACC